GGGUGUAGGAUAAUUUGGGAUUUUAAGUAGGUUUGGAAUUGAACAUUCUGAAACAUCUUUAUAUACAUGUAUUUCAAAUUGAGCAAUUUAGAAUAUAAUUCUAGAUCCGAUAAGGCAUUUUGGAUUGAGCAAUUUGAAACAUAAAUAUAUUUUUCGAAUGUAUCUCUUGGUUUGGAAAUAUAUUUCAGAUUAUUUAAUUCAGGAAAUAUUAAUGUUUUUCGGAUUGUGUAAGUUGGAAUGUUCAUUUCUUUUUCU
rnacentral:lncRNA from 1 species